rfam:Prunus persica cultivar Lovell chromosome G1, whole genome shotgun sequence.
AGCCGUGCAAUGAGCACAAAGCGAACUAUUCUUUCGCCUUUUACUAAAGAAUACCGUGUGCGCACUGCGAUUAGCGGCAUACGCCCAUUUUUGGAGGACUUGGCCAUUAUUGGCUGAGC